ensembl:piRNA 21ur-4731 ncRNA
UAAUAAACGAACCUUGGUGAU